UGCUAGCGAAACUGAAAUAGACACAGACAGACAGAGAGGGCGGGACACGGGGGAACGGCGAGACGGCAGUGGUUGAAACAAAGCGGUAUGUUUUGACUGGCACUAACGGUCGAGGAGUGAAGAUCAGUUGAACGUUUCUGUGACUCCGCCCAGCGGCUGCUCUUCUGAGAGGCACUGCUCUGACAGCUCUGUCUACUGGGAAACGCGCUAAAAGUCCUUCUGGAGGUAAGCAACACUACACAAUUUCACCAAGUCUGAGAGUAAAAGCUUUCUCGAAGGUUCGUUUUGCUUUCUUACAACGUUACGUUAAUGUUAACUUAACCUUACGUUUGCUAGGAGGCUAGCUGUCUUAGCUAACAACAGUUAGCAGCUAACGUUUUCUGCAGUUUGUGUUUCCCCUGAAAAACGUGAUGCAGCUAUAAGUUGCUUUGCAUUUGAACCCCUAUGACUGGUUGCGGACGUGAAGGGAACGCCUUCCUGACAUCCAGGAAAAAGUUUUAUUGGACAGUAGAGA